ACUGCCGUUUUUGAAUAUCCACACGAGCAAGUGGAGUAGGGGAGUUGCACCUUAUGGCUUGACACUAAAAGUUAGAGCAGUUGUGAUGCCAAUCCACGACCUAAAUAUGUACAUAUGAAGGGUUAGUUAAUGGUCUCGCCUAAUAGAUGAAGAAUUUUAAUGUAAUUGUUUGGAUGCCGCAAUACAAAUAUGUACAUAUAAAGGCCCAGCGAAUUAACAACAAAAACAACAACAACAAAUUUUGUGUUUAAAACUUACAGUACUCAAUUAAAAGAAAACGAUUUUGUGGAAGGAUCUUUAAAUAUAUUGGAAGAGUAUGUUUGUGAAACUAUUGUAAAACUCAGUGGAUAUAUAUAUAUUUAUAUAUCCUUUCAUUAAAUGUAGUAAUGAAGACAACACAACAACACAAGCAUAUCGACACAAACUGAUAAUUCACUAGAUUUUCACCAGCUCAAAUGCGUUGAGCUACAAAAUGAAGUUAGUGUGCUUCAGCAAAAAGUUGUAGAUUUUGAGCUCAAAAUUUCAAUUUUUGAAAAGGGUAAGAGCUUUCUAACCCAAACUCAACAAAAGUUGUUUGAGUUAAGCAGUUUAAAGCCACCACGUUAUAACCUGGAUGACAUAUCGUCAGCUACUUGCCUAUAUUCUGCUGGGCCACGUUGUUACAGACUGCUGCGGAAACUUGAAUUUCCUUUGCCGUCACCUUCUACUCUGCGUAGGUGGGCAUCCAAGUUAUGCAUUGAGCCUGGUCUGCAAACACAAAUCUUCGCGCACAUGAAAACGUUCGAUAUGCCGUUGGAAAAUAAAUUAUGCAUUCUUUCAUUAGACGAAAUGUAGUGCAGGGAGGAAUAGGCGUAUGACCGGAAAGCAGACAUAAUUCUCCAGCCGAAAAGGGUGGUCCAAGUAGCGAUGGUUCGUGGACUGUGUGGAAACUGGAAGCAGCCCAUUUUCUACAAUUUCAAUUUUAAAAUGACAGAAGAUGUCUUAUUGCAAAUAAUAACUUCUCUAUACGAAAUUGGUUUUACGGUUGUUACGGCUGUCAGCGACCUUGGACGGGAUAAUCAGCAGCUCUGGCGGUCUAUGAACAUUUCCACUCAAAUCUUUUUAUUAAGCAUCCAUAUGAUGAUAGCAAAUUUGUAUCUGUUUUCGCUGAUAUACCGCAUCUUAUUAAGCUGUUACGUAACCAC